rnacentral:rRNA from 1 species
CAGCCCUAAACGAUGCGCGUUAGGUGUAUCGGUGACCACGAGUCACCGAGGUGCCGAAGGGAAACCGUGAAACGUGCCGCCUGGGAAGUACGGUCGCAAGGCUGAAACUUAAAGGAAUUGGCGGGGGAGGCACCGCAACGGGAGGAGCGUGCGGUUCAAUUGGAUUCAACGCCGAAAACUACACCAGGAGCGACGGAUAUAUGAAGGUCAAGCUGAUGACUUUACCUUGAUUUUCCGAGAGGUGGUGCAUGGCGUAGUCG